rnacentral:rRNA from 1 species
UGGGGAAUAUUGGACAAUGGGCGCAAGCCUGAUCCAGCCAUGCCGCGUGAGUGAUGAAGGCCCUAGGGUUGUAAAGCUCUUUUGUGCGGGAAGAUAAUGACGGUACCGCAAGAAUAAGCCCCGGCUAACUUCGUGCCAGCAGCCGCGGUAAUACGAAGGGGGCUAGCGUUGCUCGGAAUCACUGGGCGUAAAGGGUGCGUAGGCGGGUCUUUAAGUCAGGGGUGAAAUCCUGGAGCUCAACUCCAGAACUGCCUUUGAUACUGAAGAUCUUGAGUUCGGGAGAGGUGAGUGGAACUGCGAGUGUAGAGGUGAAAUUCGUAGAUAUUCGCAAGAACACCAGUGGCGAAGGCGGCUCACUGGCCCGAUACUGACGCUGAGGCACGAAAGCGUGGGGAGCAAACAG